AAGUCGUAACAAGGUUUCCGUAGGUGAACCUGCGGAGGGAUCAUUAACACUUAAACAAAUAACACAAACAACUCGGUAACCUUAGAAAACCAUUGAGGAAUAGUUUUUAUUUUCAGGAAUUAUUUGUGUGCUCUAUCCUUUGUUUGUAAUGGAACAAAUGCGGUAUUGAGUCUCGUUUAUUUCUGAAAUGUAAUCUAACUUCAUUGUUUUUCUAUCUUUUUUAUCUAUUCACUCGAAUUUAUUCUCGUGUAUGGUAUAAGAAUUCUAUACUAUUUGGACUAAAUCGUUUAGCUUACUUGUAAACUAAACACAAUCGAAAUAAACAUUGUAGAACUCUUAACAAUGGAUAUCUCGGCUCUC
rnacentral:misc_RNA from 1 species